GAGAGUAGAGGAAUGGGUUAGUAGAGAGAGGUAGUGGAGGAAUGGGUUAGUAGAGAGAGGAGAGUAGAGGAAUGGGUUGGUAGAGAGAGGAGAGUGGAGGAAUGGGUUGGUAGAGAGAGGUAGUGGAGGAAUGGGUUGGUAGAGAGAGGAGAGUAGAGGAAUGGGUUGGUAGAGAGAGGAGAGUAGAGGAAUGGGUUGGUAGAGAGAGGAGAGUAGAGGAAUGGGUUGGUAGAGAGAGGAGAGUAGAGGAAUGGGUUAGUAGAGAGAGGAGAGUAGAGGAAUGGGUUAGUAGAGAGAGGAGAGUAGAGGAAUGGGUUAGUAGAGAGAGGUAGUGGAGGAAUGGGUUAGUAGAGAGAGGUAGUGGAGGAAUGGGUUAGUAGAGAGAGGAGAGUAGAGGAAUGGGUUGGUAGAGAGAGGAGAGUAGAGGAAUGGGUUGGUAGAGAGAGGA
ensembl:lncRNA